UAUAGCUCUUUGGAAUAGGAUACAACCUUAAUUAGAGAGUAAGCAUAUAUCAACUACCAUAGUUGGCCUAAAAGCAGCCAUCAAUUAAGAAAGCGUUCAAGCUCAACAAAUUAAUUAUAAUUUAAUACAAACAAUAAGCUCAAACUCCUAAUACCAAACUGGACUAAUCUAUACCAAUAUAGAAGUAAUACUGUUAAUAUGAGUAACAAGAUUUAAAUCUCCAAGCACAAGUAUACAUCAGAACAAAUAUAUAACUGAUAAUUAACGGCCAAAUAAAUAAAACCCAUCAUAAAACAUUUAUUUAACCACCGUUAACCCGACACAGGAGUGCACUUUAAGGAAAGAUUAAAAGAAGUAAAAGGAACUCGGCAAACACAAACCCCGCCUGUUUACCAAAAACAUCACCUCUAGCAUUACUAGUAUUAGAGGCACUGCCUGCCCAGUGACAACUGUUUAACGGCCGCGGUAUCCUGACCGUGCAAAGGUAGCAUAAUCAUUUGUUCCCUAAAUAGGGACUUGUAUGAAUGGCCACACGAGGGUUUAACUGUCUCUUACUUCCAAUCAGUGAAAUUGACCUUUCCGUGAAGAGGCGGAAAUAUACCAAUUAGACGAGAAGACCCUAUGGAGCUUUAAUUUAUCUACUCCAAUAGAAUAACUAAUUACCCACACAGGAAUAACACCUCAUUCUAACUGGAUAGAAAAUUUCGGUUGGGGUGACCUCGGAGCAUAAACCAACCUCCGAGAAUUUUUACCAAGACUAACAAGUCAAAGUACAAUUAUACUAAUUGAUCCAGUCUUACUGAUCAACGGAACAAGUUACCCUAGGGAUAACAGCGCAAUCCUAUUCUAGAGUCCUUAUCGACAAUAGGGUUUACGACCUCGAUGUUCGAUC
rnacentral:rRNA from 1 species